AAAGGGAAAGCCCAGCUCUGCAACGCUUAGUAACUCAAAGAAUCUGUGUAACAACAAAAAAAAAAAAUCCAGUACGUGGAAAAUGUUCAGAUUUUAGCAAACAUUGCAACUUUAUUUGAGCAAUUCCCCGACCCCUGCUUCCAUCAGACGACAGACACACACACACAAAUCCCACUGAGGACUUUUAGAAGACAAGGGGAGAUGUGACUGUUUCUGUUACUUUCAACAUUCUGGCUGAGAAUUUCUUCAACCGAAGCUGGGAUUUAUUGGACUGCAAACAGAAGUGAUCUGGAGUGGAGGUGCUGAUUGAGAAGGGCUUACUUGGGUAAUCUGGGUCAGUAUCCUGGGUCUAAUCACAGCCAGGUGGCCCCACUGCACCUCUCACACAUCAAUCAAUCCUAAGAAGAUACAGAGAGAAACUGUAAAAAAGAAACUUAAAGCUAAAUCAUUGGUAUGAUAUGCAUUAGGUGCUUAUUCACUAAACAGUGGGUUGAUCUAGUAACUAACUUGCAACAUUUAAAGCAAAAUAUUAAAGUUGCUAAAACACAUCUUGAAUUAAGCUGAUUAGUGUGGGGACAGUCAGAUUUGUAGCAGGAUACAAAUGUUGCACAAUCACGACAUACAUUUUGAACUUGGUUGGAAAAAGUACAUCACAUGUAUACGUUCUUUGUUUUAUUUCCUUUAUAUAAGGAUUUUAAAUAUUAUAACUCCACCCAUCAGUACAGGAUACAAUGUCACUUACUCCCCACUUAAACCACUUGAUAACAAAGAUUUGCAUGUCAUUUGCACAAUCUAUAUCCCUCUUCUUUGCCUUGCUAAGUGUUCAUGUAAUCAGCUGUUUGGGGUAUUUGUUUAUGUAAUUUAAUGUCAUUUUUACAGAUCUGCCCAAAGGAAAUAAAAUUUGGUAACAAGAA